AUUGAACGCUGGCGGCAGGCCUAACACAUGCAAGUCGAACGAGUGGCGGACGGGUGAGUAAUGUCUGGGAAACUGCCUGAUGGAGGGGGAUAACUACUGGAAACGGUAGCUAAUACCGCAUACCAUCAGAUGUGCCCAGAGGGGAUUAGCUAGUUGGUGGGGUAACGGCCCCCCAAGGCGACGAUCCCUAGCUGGUCUGAGAGGAUGACCAGCCGAACGGGAACUGAGACACGGUCCAGGCGACAACGGGAGGCAGCAGUGGAGAAGAUUGCACAAUUGGCGAAAGCCUGAUGCAGCCAUGCCGCGUGUAUGAAGAAGGCCUUCGGGUUGUAAAGUACUGUCAGCGGGGAGGCGUUACCCGCAGAAGAAGCACCGGCUAACUCCGUGCCAGCAGCCGCGGUAAUAC
rnacentral:rRNA from 1 species